AGCCGUACCCUUCCGAGGUCCGGCCGAGGGCCAUAUCCUGCCACUGCCCCAGCAUUUAUUACGCAUGAUCUCCGCAAACCCAAGGUUCACUCAACAAUUAAUGCGCAUCUUCGGCUUAUGCGCAUGGCUCCUAUUAUCUACGGAUCCUCAGCUCUCCACGGAAAAUUAGCUCAGCAGGGUCCUAUCAGCCGUGAUAAGUCUCUGACCCCGGCCUCACCUCCGACAUCAAUGCAAUGAUUCAUCCGAUCGCGCGCCAGCUCAAGUCGUACGACGGCCUCACCUCCGACAUCAAUGCAAUGAUUCACCUGAUCGUGUGCCAGUCCAAGCAACAUGCCGAGCCGUACGACGGUCUCGCCCAAUCACAUCACAGAUAAUCCAACCCCCCUAUAAAA
rnacentral:lncRNA from 1 species